AGGUUGUUCGCACGCUCGUUAAAGUCGGAUCAAGAAGCUUGUUAAGGAAAUUACUAAGCUUUUCAGGUUGAGCGUUGACGAGGAUGGAGGAUGUUGAGAAUUUGGACAAAGACCGCAUUCAAUAAAUGUUCUGGUUGCUAUUGUGUCUUCAUACAUAGUAGUAGCUAACUCUCAAAUGCUUCCGCUAUGCCAAGUUUUAAAACUCUUAUGUUUUUCUUUAAUCUGUUGGAAUAUUUCCCUAAGAACCUUGUUGCUUCGUGAUUCCAAACUAUAAGUUGGUAAUAAAGUUUCAUCUUUUGAUUUA